rnacentral:rRNA from 1 species
AGUUCGAACUCUAUUCCGCACUCCCAAAGUCUGGUCCACGUUCACACACAUGCACUACUGUGGCACCUUCACGAGAGAUUGGGUACCCCGGAGUCGGUCGACGCGUAGGUCGUAGGUUAGAGUGUGAAGGGUCGAGUGUAUGGUGUCGUUUUGGGCCGCUUUGGUACGUGGUUCUUUCCGGCGGGAAGACACGCUAGGCCUGCUCGUUUCCAUUGCUCCCGGAGCACAGAGGGUUAGCUGGCCGCUCUGCGCGGUACUAGGACGAUGACCGGAACGACGAGUAAAGACUACCUCAACCGUGACGGGUGACGAGCUGUCAGAGGCCAUUGUCGUGCCUGUACGAGAGCGACGAUCUAAAGUUCGCCCUGUAGUGGUUACUAGGUUCCGUUCGGAACCCGAGAACCUUGCGGUCGUAGGGGGUAACGCUCACCUUCCCGCAGUUGACGUCGGAGUGCGUGGGUCCCGCUCAAUGACACGAUUUGGAGUGGCUCGUUCCCAACAGUCCAAGCUAAAGGGGCAGGGAACCCUUGGACUGCAAGGAACUCUGUGACCUGGACAGGUGUUUAUCGAAGUGGCCGCUCGACGGAGGAGAACCUGCAGAGGUGUCUGACGUUGUUGAAAACGACUCAUUUUUGAGAAACGUUCCCUAGUAAGGUCGAUGUGAAUGUUUAACAAGGUUGGAUUCAAUGAAUCUGGAUAUGCCAUUGAAGGACUGUCCACUUUAAGGUGAGUCAUAUCCGAACGAGAGGUUGGACAACACCAAUGUCGAAAGUCUUUUAUUAUAGUGGCCUUGCUAGGGUGGUUCGGACUUUUUGUAGUCGGUCAAUCUUCGUUAGCUAGAACGUCUAUUAGUUGAGUACCCAUCGUAAGGGGUACUCUAUCCUGUUAAAGGUUCAUACUACCCAAACCAUGAGCCACCAUUAUACGAUAGUCCAUCUUAGGGUUGUUGGCACGAAUUGGUCAGAAUAGAUGUUUAAAAUCUGAAUUCAUGGUUAUACUAUCCCUCGUGUAACGGCAGACUAAAACCACUAUGGGGGGGUUCAGAGUGUAACGAGAUGAACCUGAUAUUGUACAAACUUCCAAUAUAGGGUCGAAGAGACCCAUUAUGAAGUCCCGAUAGUCACAACCUGGAUAGUAUAUUGUUUAACUGUCCAGUUCAAGGUUCAAGAGAACCAUCCGAACCUUACAACUUGUUAGAUUUGGAAGUCUUAUUAUUUGAACUUCGUUUCCUAUAAGUUUCGACCCUUAAGUAUCUAUGCAACUCGUUAACGUCUAGAGACGUUCAAGAACGUGAUCCAUUUUUAGUCAAUUUUCCUCGAUAGGGUUCAAGAUAACCAUUGGACAGUUCGUUUGAAGUUCCUGAUCCUAAUCUACGUUUGCUGAACAGUCCCUGUUAUGGGUGAUUGUAUCCAUUAGAAUCGCCGAAUUGUUGUGACCGAAAUGCACUUUUGUUCGAGGUGCCUAGGUAACUUCCUACCCAAGCUUUAGACUCCUUAGAUUGCCAAAAUCGAGAACUGCCCUUAUUGAAGUGACCGGGUUAUGGUUGGAGAUAGUCAUUAGAACGUUCUGACUUCUUCGAGAUAGAUCGUUUGUUACUUAAACUUCCAGGUUAUGGAAUUUUAAAGACUUGAUAGAUGUGGACAAAAUGUUGGUAUAAGUACCUCUUUAUGGUUCUUUACCCCAUAAACUUUUACAGUGCGGACAAAGAGAGCUACCCUUAACCCUCGAAACACCACCUCGUCACCUAGAAGCAUACGGGUGAACGAGACGAUAAAGAGUCUUUUUUCCUUCUGACAUGAUGAACCAGUCUCAUGAAUAGGGACACCAAUCGAAGUAUAGUGAGCAUAACAAUUAAAUGAAACGUGCGGACCCCCGGUUCUGUGGUUCUUCUCGUAGGAAUAACAACGAAAUAAGACCGUUAGUAAAAGGAUCUGAUAGGAUGUCCCUAUAUCGAGUUCGAUGUGUCUCGAAAAGACUCAGAUUGGACCAACCGUCUCCUUCGAUGCCAAGUCAUAUAUCUCCUUUCAAUUGAGUUCGUUUUUAUGUUCACCGAUAAUUUCAAAAACUGGAGCUACACUCUAUGCGUCUGUUUUCAAAGUAUAGUCUUACACUCCAAAACUCUUCAUAAGCUGUAGCUUUAGAACAAAGAUAGGGUUGUCGUACAAGUUGUUAUCUAUUACUACCAUUGCGAAAGUUUCGAGAUUAAAUACUCAAGUACGGUUUGCCCUUAAACCUGUGUACCAAUGUGUGUUUUAGACGACCACUUCCAGGUUCCUAAAACUCGAAUCCCGUUUCUUAUUCGUAGCGAUAAUUAUAGCGACUACGUAACCGGAUGAAUGUGGUACUAUAUUGUUCUAGGUAACAGGUAACGCUAGACUUUGGGUCGUUAUAGGAGGACCUGUGACUAUACUUACGUAUAAACCCACUGAAGCCGUAACGUUUGGAGCAGGCAUUAAGUUUCAGUUGUAGUCAACCCGUAAGUUCAAGUCGGAGUUGAAGUCUACCGAGUUAACCUAACUUUCCUUGAUAUCCUAUAUAACGAGGUCUCAUACGAGUUUGACCGGUUCGUAGUUGAAAAACCCUGCAAAUGUCAAAACCUCAUCAAGAAGAUCUCUACGACUAUCCCAUUUUCUGGUUGUCUGGGAUACAAACUGUUGCUUGAGUUGUAACAGUUAAAGCACCUCUCCUUGAGAGGUCUAGUCUAUGACGUAUAGUAGCUACUAGCAGACGUUCUUCUCACGUUCCCUAAGUAAGCACGUUGUCGCCUUCGUCCUUUACACCAUAUAGUCACGAACCACAGGGAACACGUUCAUCGAGACAGAACAUGGGCAGACAAGGGUUCUCUCGCUUACUUGUACUCUUUUCAUCGGUACUUUAACGUCCGUCGGUCUUGUAGUAUAUAUACAACCUCGUUUGUUCGGUCUCGUUCAAUUCGGUGCGAUAUCACUAAACCGUUAACUGUGACUUGAAACAUAUUGAACAGAGUGCACUAAACGUUACAUGAGGAGGAUCACUAGAUUUUCCAGAAUAUAAUCAAAUGUCUCCCUCAUGGUAGCUCAAACAUAUUUAGCUCAACCAUAAAAAGUUAUUUCUCUUAAACAUAACUGAUAAUUGCGGC